AGUUUUUGGAUAUUGUGAAUAAAGCUGCAACUUUCAAAGGACAUUUUUUUUGGUUUUUGUUUCUUUGUUUUGUUUUGUUUUGAGACAGAGUCUCACUCCAUCGCCCAGGCUGGAGUGCAGUAGCAUGAUCUCAGCUCACUGAAACCUCUGCCUCCUGGGAGUUCAAGUGAUUCUCCUGCCUCAGCCUCCCAAAUGCUGGGAUUACAGGCGCCCACCACCACACCCAGCUAAUUUCUGUAGUUUUAGGGCAGAUGGGGUUUCACCACUUUGGCCAGUCUGGUCUCGAACUCCUGACCUCAGGUGAUCUUCCCACCUCGGCCUCCCAAAGUGCUGGGAUACAGGUGUGAGCCACGGUGCCCAGCCAGGACACAUGUUUUCAUUUCUCUUGGGUUGCUGGGUUACAGAGUCGAUACAAUGUUUAGCUUCAGUAGACAUUGCCAAACAGUUUUCCAAAGAGUAUCCCCACCAGCAAUGAGUGAGAACUGCAGUUGCUCCACGUCCUUGUCAACACUUAGUAUUGCCAGUCUAAAAAGAAAAAUGUUAGCCAUUCUGGAGGGUGGCAGGAUUCAGGGUUGAAAGUUGACUGCCAACCACCCUGUACUCCUGUACCCUGUCCUCCAGGUCUGCCCAAGAUGGAGGUGUUUCAGGAAUACUACGGGCUUCCUCCACCCCCUGGAGCCAUUGGACCCUUCCUACGGCUCAACCCUGGAGACAUUGUGGAGCUCACGAAGGCUGAGGCUGAACAGAACUGGUGGGAGGGCAGGAAUACAUCUACUAAUGAAAUUGGCUGGUUUCCUUGU
rnacentral:sRNA from 1 species